rnacentral:rRNA from 1 species
GACGUAGGAUGCGAGCGUUGUCCGGAUUUAUUGGGCGUAAAGAGUUCGUAGGUGGUUCGUUAAGUCUGAUGUUAAAGACUGGGGCUCAACCCUGGGAGUGCAUUGGAUACUGGCGGGCCGGAGUGCAGUAGAGGCAAGCGGAAUUCCAGGUGUAGCGGUGAAAUGCGUAGAUAUCGGGAGGAACACCAGUGGCGAAGGCGGCGACCUGGGCAGAUACUGACACUGAGGUGCGAAAGCGUGGGGAGCAAACAGG